GAUGAAGAACGCAGCGAAAUGCGAUAAGUAGUGUGAAUUGCAGAAUUCAGUGAAUCAUCGAAUCUUUGAACGCACAUUGCGCCCUUUGGUAUUCCAAAGGGCAUGCCUGUUCGAGCGUCAUUUGUACCCCCAAGCUUUGCUUGGUGUUGGGCGUCUUGUCUCUAGCUUUGCUGGAGACUCGCCUUAAAGUAAUUGGCAGCCGGCCUACUGGUUUCGGAGCGCAGCACAAGUCGCACUCUCUAUCAGCAAAGGUCUAGCAUCCAUUAGGCCUUUUUUUCAACUUUUGACCUCGGAUCAGGUAGGGAUACCCGCUGAACUUAAGCAUAUCAAUAAGCGGAGGA
rnacentral:misc_RNA from 1 species